CCUUUGACGUUAGCGGCGGACGGGUGAGUAACACGUGGGUAACCUACCUAUAAGACUGGGAUAACUUCGGGAAACCGGAGCUAAUACCGGAUAAUAUUUCGAACCGCAUGGUUCGAUAGUGAAAGAUGGUUUUGCUAUCACUUAUAGAUGGACCUGCGCCGUAUUAGCUAGUUGGUAAGGUAACGGCUUACCAAGGCGACGAUACGUAGCCGACCUGAGAGGGUGAUCGGCCACACUGGAACUGAGACACGGUCCAGACUCUACGGGAGGCAGCAGUU
rnacentral:rRNA from 1 species